rnacentral:lncRNA from 1 species
CAUCAGAUGCAUAAGUGAUUAGUGACAAGUGACACAGAAACAGAGAAUGUGCUGUGUUACAAUGAAUAAUAAACACGCGCAAUUUAUGCAGGCAGAGUGAGCGGGGAGAUGGCAUCCUGUGCCUUUUCCAUAUAAAUAAUGUGAAUCUUGUCGAGGCAGGGCCAGGCACUGCCGGCUGAAGAGUGAGGCUGGGCUGGAUGCAGAGGGGUCGUGUGUAGGUGGGGAGCUGGGUCUUCCAAUGGUUUCAUUGUGGAGCGAGCUGACAGCAAUUACUCUUGUGCAAAUGAGAGUAGAGACAGGGAAAUAAAUAACUGCGGUCAAAAAUUUUCACUCUGAAAAGAGCUACUGGAUAGUGAAAAAAGUUUGUCAGAAACUAGUGGUAACAUUUUAUGGGUUUAUGGUGAGCAUACCUGAAGCAUCCUUUGUAAAGACACUGUCUUGCAGGAGGAUUGGCGGUGCCUCUCUGAAAAAGCCAACAGUGAUCAUUUUUUGCAUGUGCUAACUCUGUUUUUAGAUGAAGUUUCACAAGCACACAUCUGGACAUGUCCCUUUGGCACGCCACUGCCUUGAUAAUCAGUUUGGCCAUCCAAAAUGGAAAGGGGAAGAAAAGAAAGGUUUGACACGCAGUGGCAGACAUGUAAAAAUGACUACAUGCCUUCCCGAGACAAAGGCUCCUCACCACUGCGGCUCUGGCGUCCCCCGAAGCUAUGGGAGCGGUGCUGGCGACCCUGGCCCUGACCCGGACCCCCGACCUGGCUGGGGAAUAGGGUCCCCUCCCUCUGCCCCGUGCCAGGGGAUGUGUCCCAUUGCACCACCGCAGCACCCUUGAGCCACACCCUGCCCAGAACGUGGCACCACACUGCUCAGCCAGCAAGGUCCCCAGACUGAAGGAGCAGUCCUCGCCCAGCACUAAUCAAGCCAUUCUCAGCCAGGAGCAAUGCAUCCCAACAGCCUCAGCAAGAGCACGGCAGUGACAACUGAAAAAUGGAAGCAGAGAAACUCUCACCAUGGCAGGAACAGCACAAACCCCCCAUUAUAUGUUCUGCUUUUGCAGGGGAGGAUACACGCUCUUCCAGGACUCUAAUCCCCAUUGCUAAUAUUAUUAAAUAUUUAUGUACCACCACAACUUCGCGUGACACUUCACGGAGAUAAAA